rnacentral:lncRNA from 1 species
AAACCAACACACAAACCCAGAGAUGAUUUUACAAAUACACCUGUAGCAAGCUGGACAAAUGCCAGAGUUAAAUAACAACAGACUAGUUAAGGAAAUGCUUUGAAUGGAGGAACCAGGAAGAAGAACUUGAUAACAGGACCUUGCAUAAUUAAUCGAUUGAUCACUGAACUUCAUUGUCAUAUUUCUACGGUCAAAUUUUGGGAGAAAGCUGUCGCAAUUUCAUCAGAGUGUAGCAAUGCCCGAGUUGUAACUGAGUUCCAUCUGGGUG